UACGUAGGGUGCGAGCGUUAAUCGGAAUUACUGGGCGUAAAGCGUGCGCAGGCGGUCGUGCAAGACAGAUGUGAAAUCCCCGGGCUUAACCUGGGAACUGCAUUUGUGACUGCAUGGCUGGAGUGCGGCAGAGGGGGAUGGAAUUCCGCGUGUAGCAGUGAAAUGCGUAGAUAUGCGGAGGAACACCAGUGGCGAAGGCGGCUGCCUGGGCCAGUUCUGACGCUGAGGCGCGAAAGCGUGGGGAGCAAACAGG
rnacentral:rRNA from 1 species